GCACGUCUAGCUCAGUUGGUAUAGUGCAAGACUCUUAACCUUGUGGUUGUGGGUUCAAGCCCCAUAGUGGAUG
rnacentral:tRNA from 7 species